UACGGGGGGGGGCAAGCGUUGUUCGGAUUUACUGGGCGUAAAGGGCGCGUAGGCGGUCGUGACAAGUCACUUGUGAAAUCUCCGGGCUUAACUCGGAACGGUCAAGUGAUACUGUCGGACUAGAGUACAGAAGGGGCAACUGGAAUUCUCGGUGUAGCGGUGAAAUGCGUAGAUAUCGAGAGGAACACCUGCGGCGAAGGCGGGUUGCUGGGCUGAUACUGACGCUGAGGCGCGAAAGCCAGGGGAGCGAACGGG
rnacentral:rRNA from 1 species